rnacentral:rRNA from 1 species
CUAUACAUGCAGUCGAGCGGACAGAUGGGAGCUUGCUCCCUGAUGUUAGCGGCGGACGGGUGAGUAACACGUGGGUAACCUGCCUGUAAGACUGGGAUAACUCCGGGAAACCGGGGCUAAUACCGGAUGCUUGUUUGAACCGCAUGGUUCAGACAUAAAAGGUGGCUUCGGCUACCACUUACAGAUGGACCCGCGGCGCAUUAGCUAGUUGGUGAGGUAACGGCUCACCAAGGCGACGAUGCGUAGCCGACCUGAGAGGGUGAUCGGCCACACUGGGACUGAGACACGGCCCAGACUCCUACGGGAGGCAGCAGUAGGGAAUCUUCCGCAAUGGACGAAAGUCUGACGGAGCAACGCCGCGUGAGUGAUGAAGGUUUUCGGAUCGUAAAGCUCUGUUGUUAGGGAAGAACAAGUGCCGUUCAAAUAGGGCGGCACCUUGACGGUACCUAACCAGAAAGCCACGGCUAACUACGUGCCAGCAGCCGCGGUAAUACGUAGGUGGCAAGCGUUGUCCGGAAUUAUUGGGCGUAAAGGGCUCGCAGGCGGUUUCUUAAGUCUGAUGUGAAAGCCCCCGGCUCAACCGGGGAGGGUCAUUGGAAACUGGGGAACUUGAGUGCAGAAGAGGAGAGUGGAAUUCCACGUGUAGCGGUGAAAUGCGUAGAGAUGUGGAGGAACACCAGUGGCGAAGGCGACUCUCUGGUCUGUAACUGACGCUGAGGAGCGAAAGCGUGGGGAGCGAACAGGAUUAGAUACCCUGG